rnacentral:lncRNA from 1 species
AAGUGAGGGUGGUGGGGUCUCACUGUGGAGACAGCCAAGUUUGAGGGUGGAUGAGAGCUGAAAGAAGGAGACCCAGUGGCUUGGGGAGGGUGAGGCAGGACGGGAAGGCACUGCGUUUGGUGGGAGAGAGGAUACCCCUCUGGGAGCGCAUGCGUGCCUGUCACGGGUGGGGGACCCAUCAAGGAAGGAAGGUCUUGCUGCAAAACAUAGCGUCCAGGGCAGGAGGAGGGUUCACCCACCCCUCCAGGUGGCUGAGGAACAAAUGCCAGCGGCACCUUUGCUUACGUUCCCCUGUUGCCCUUCGCGUUCAGAAGCAUGACCCUCCUUGCAUGCAGGAGGACAGGAGAAGGACAGGAGAACAAGGUAUAGGGAUGAAAUGUAAAGAUUGUAAAAUGGGCAGUCUUGGGACCGAGCAGGGGAUGUUGCUCCUCGCCACCAGCGGUGAAAGCCCCGCAGGAGCUCUGCGCCACCGGCGCGGCUCGGCAGCUAAGGAAACGAGGUGGGAGAGGGAUUUCAGGACGGUGCCAAAACUCACAUUUCUAAAAGGCCAGGAGUUUUAUGUCUGCCCCCGCUCGAUCCCCCCCAAGCCUGCAGAAAGCGAAGGCUCGGGGGUUGCUGAAAAGCAGCUUCUGACCCGGUUUGUCCAGCUGGGCAUAUAAAAAUCGUUGAGGAGCACGAGCGCUCUCAGUUGUACGCAGCUUGGCCACUGUUAAAUAUUUGCGUGUUGAAAAGCUCAUCACUGGACGUUUGGGAACGGGGGAAAGCACGCCAGGGCACUGGUUUUGUUAUAUGGGUUGGAGGGGAACACGGUAAUUCUCCGUAUCGCCCGGAGUCCUGCAGGCGCCGCGUGUGCAGCCGAGCCACGAUGAACUGAAGUACGUGGUUGUUCUCCCGACCUGGACCAGCGUCUCCUCCCAGACUGAUUAACAAUGUCUUUUUACAGAUGCUUCCAGCAACCUGACGCCGUGACUCAGCUGAAUUCCCCGGCUCGCUGAGCUGCCGGCGCAGCCCGGAGGGGCCUGGCCUGCACGGAGAGCAGGACAGCGCUAGCCGCAGCACGGAGACGGCCCGCAUGCAAGGGAGCGCGGCGGGGACCUGCUCUGCCUGGAAAGAACUGAGUCAUUUAUGCGCGGGUGGGUGUCUACGUACUUUUAGCAGCAACAAUAGCAACAUCAUUCUGGAGAAAGAAAAGUCUGUUUUAGCUGUCCUGCGGUGAGGAGGAGAGAGCGCCUCGCUGGCUACGUCGUGAUCUCCUGGUCUCGUCCAGGAGGAAAAACAGGCAUUUGAACCCCGCUCUUGCCAGCAGAGCCAUUCGGCGAAGCACGGACGCUCACGCUCUGUUUUAGCCGUGUCCGUGACCUGCUGAAGAGGGCUCCAGCUGGGCCUGGGGCCCAGGCUUUGGUUGCUCCGCGAGCAGAGGCAGGCGCGGGGGACCGGACGGCUCCACCGCGCUUCGGGAGGGACCUUGAGUGUGUCCUCGGCUUGCAGAAGCAGUUAAGGCCCAGCAACACAGCAAGAACGUAUAGGUGAGGACGGCCCUCACACCCGUGCUGAGCCGCCAGGAGAGUGCGGGUGCUCAGCUGCAGGCGUGAAGACGACAGCUAAUUUAAGGCCCGUCUUAACAACAUAUACUUCAUUUUUCUCAGGCUUCCUUGUUGC